rnacentral:rRNA from 1 species
ACUGGGACUGAGACACGGCCCAGACUCCUACGGGAGGCAGCAGUGGGGAAUUUUCCGCAAUGGGCGCAAGCCUGACGGAGCAAUACCGCGUGAGGGAGGAAGGCCUUUGGGUUGUAAACCUCUUUUCUUAAGGAAGAAGAUCUGACGGUACUUAAGGAAUCAGCAUCGGCUAACUCCGUGCCAGCAGCCGCGGUAAUACGGAGGAUGCAAGCGUUAUCCGGAAUUAUUGGGCGUAAAGCGUCCGCAGGCGGCACUAUAAGUCUGCUGUCAAAGACCGCAGCUCAACUGCGGAAAGGCAGUGGAAACUGUAGAGCUAGAGUACGGUAGGGGUAGAGGGAAUUCCCAGUGUAGCGGUGAAAUGCGUAGAGAUUGGGAAGAACACCAGUGGCGAAAGCGCUCUACUGGGCCGUAACUGACGCUCAGGGACGAAAGCUAGGGGAGCGAAAGGGAUUAGAUACCCCUGUAGUCCUAGCUGUAAACGAUGGAUACUAGGCGUAGCUUGUAUCGACCCGAGCUGUGCCGAAGCUAACGCGUUAAGUAUCCCGCCUGGGGAGUACGCACGCAAGUGUGAAACUCAAAGGAAUUGACGGGGGCCCGCACAAGCGGUGGAGUAUGUGGUUUAAUUCGAUGCAACGCGAAAAACCUUACCAGGGGCUUGACAUGUCGCGAAUCUGAGGGGAACCUCAGAGUGCCUUCGGGAGCGCGAACACAGGUGGUGCAUGGCUG